AAAAAAAAAUGGAUAUCUUCUGAGUUCCCAUAGAAAAUCUAAUCUAAAACCCUUGAUAAAACCUUACCCACUCCACCAGUUUAGUCCCUAAGACAUACCACACCAAAUCAAAUCCUUUGAACACCCAAAAAAGAAAGAAAAGUAGUCAUAACACAUUCAUUUUGAAGAGAUGAUAUUGAGUGGAAUUUACAGCCUUCGAAGCAUACGAUUGCCUCAAAGACCCAUUUUUCCUUCACUUCGUAAUGGUAGAAAAACCUUAGUUACAAGCUCAACUUCUGUUUCUGUCAACCAGAAGAAAGAGAAGGUGAUUGUAAUAUCAGGGCCAACUGGGGCAGGCAAAACUAGGCUUGCUUUGGAACUUGCUAAGCGUCUCAAUGGUGAAAUCAUCAGUGCUGACUCUGUUCAGGUUUAUCGAGGUCUUGAUGUGGGAUCUGCAAAGCCUUCUCCAUCUGAUAGACAGGAAGUGCCACAUCAUCUGAUUGAUAUUUUACACCCAUCUGAAGACUAUUCUGUAGGACAAUUUUUUGAGGAUGCUAGGCAAGCGACAAAAGAUAUUCUUCGUAGUGGCCAUGUUCCCAUCGUUACUGGUGGGACUGGAUUGUAUUUGCGAUGGUAUAUAUAUGGAAAACCAGAUGUUCCAAAGGCCUCUCGAGAAGUUGCAGCUCAAGUAUAUUCUGAGCUUGCCAAUUUUGAGAGAGAUGGAGACUGGGAGGCUGCCGUGGAAUUGGUGGUUGAUGCAGGUGAUCCGAAGGCCCAGUCUUUGGCUGCCAAUGAUUGGUAUCGCUUAAAACGUAGCCUUGAGAUAAUCAGGUCUAGUGGAUCACCUCCAUCUGCUUUUCAAGUACCAUAUGAUUCUUUUCGAAAUCAAAAUGACCCAAGUGAAACAAGUGACACUUGUGACUUAAAGCCUUCUGCUGAUGAACUCGAGCAACAUAAAGUAAAGGAUUUGGACUAUGAAUUCAUUUGUUUUUUCCUCUCAAGUCCCAGACUUGAUCUCUAUAGGCUUAUUGAUCUGCGGUGUGAACAUAUGCUUUCGGAUGGUAUUUUGUCCGAGGCUAGAUGGCUUCUGGAGACGGGCCUUCUUCCAAAUUCAAACUCUGCAACUCGAGCAAUCGGUUAUAGACAGGCAAUGGAAUACCUACUGCACUGUAGGGAACAAGGGGGCAUAAGUUCCACUAGAGACUUCUAUUAUUUUUUAUCCGAAUUUCAGAAAGCGUCUAGGAAUUUUGCGAAAAGACAAGUAACUUGGUUUCGAAACGAGCGUAUUUAUCACUGGCUGAAUGCUUCUAGACCACUGGAUAAGGUGCUUAACUUCAUUUGCAAUGCAUACAAUGACCAAAGUGGAACUCUACAUGUGCCUGAAUUACUUCAAAUGAAGAAAUAUAUGUCAAACAAACGAGAAGCUGCUGAACUAAAGGCUUAUCGUGCUAAAAACAGGCAUUUUGUCCACCGCGAAGAUUGUUCAGAUAUUCUAGACUGGAUAAGGAGUACUCAAGAGGUGAAGAGCUAAAUUCAUUCUUUCAAUUUGAUGUGAUUCCAUUUUGUUCUUAUAGAACUGGACGUCAGACAUCCUUAUCAUCCAACUUUUUUGCCAUAAGCUAAACGUUGUUUAAAAAGUCAUCUUCGGAUUGGAAGAAUACCGAUAUAAUCUGCCCCCCGGAGAUGGAAGGAAUUGUAUGUAUUUCUCCGAAUAUAGUGUUACCAAACCGGUCGCUUCGUUUUUUCUUCUUUGCCUAAUCUUUUUUUGGUAAGUUCAGGAACUGAUUACUUGUUGUAAUAUGAGAUCAAGUACAUUAAGUGAUUGAUGUUGUUCAUAAAGUUUCAAAACAAUUGUUUUUAA